rnacentral:rRNA from 1 species
UACAGAGGUCUCGAGCGUUGUUCGGAUUCAUUGGGCGUAAAGGGUGCGUAGGUGGCCAACUAAGUCAGACGUGAAAUCCCUCGGCUUAACCGGGGAACUGCGUCUGAUACUGGAUGGCUUGAGUGUGGGAGAGGGAUGCGGAAUUCCAGGUGUAGCGGUGAAAUGCGUAGAUAUCUGGAGGAACACCGGUGGCGAAGGCGGCAUCCUGGACCCACGACUGACGCUGAGUGAGCGAAGCCAGGGGAGCAAACGGG